UGAAUCUCAGUGAGUGUUUCAGCUCCCAACAUCACAA
rnacentral:scRNA from 1 species